rnacentral:rRNA from 1 species
GACGAACGCUGGCGGCGUGCUUAACACAUGCAAGUCGAACGGAGUGGCGAACGGGCGAGUGACAAGUGGGUGACCUGCCCUGCACUUCGGGAUAAGCCUGGGAAACUGGGUUUAAUACCGGAUAGGUGGGGAUGGGCCCGCGGCAUAUCGGCUUGUUGGUGGGGUAAUGGCCUACCAAGGCGGCGACGGGUAGCCGGCCUGGGAGGGUGGACGGCCACAUUGGGACUGAGAGACGGCCCAGACGCCUACGGGAGGCAGCGGUGGGGAAUAUGGCACAAUGGGCGGAAGCCUGAUGCAGCGACGCCGCGUGGGGGAUGACGGCCUUCGGGUUGUAAACUCCUUUCACCAUCGACGCGGUAGAUGGAGAAGAAGCACCGGCUAACUACGUGCCAGCAGCCGCGGUAAUUC